GUAUAGAUUGCAGUUUGAGCGCCAAGGCCUGAGAAUCAGAAUCUCUGAGGGCAGGAGAAGCUCAAUGCUCCGGCUCGACAGUCGGAGAAUCAGUUCAACUGUUCUCAGCCCUUUUGUUCUAAGCAGGUCCUCAGUGGACUGAAGGAGGCCCCCACACACUGGGGAGGGCAGUCUACUCAGCCCAUCAACUCAAAUACUAAUCUCUUCCAAAAACACCCUCACAGACACACGUAGAGAUAAUGUCUAGCCAGCUAUCUGGUUUCUGUUGACACAUAAAAUUAACUAUCACGAGUGGUAAAAGCAGAAAAAAUAACUAUUGGGUACUGGACUCAAUACCUGGGUGAUGAAAUAAUCUGUACAAUAGACCCUCAUGACACGAGUUUAACUAUGUAACAAAGCUGCACAUGUACCCCUGAACCUAAAGUAAAAAUUGAAGAAAAAAGAAAAGCAAAAUAUACUAAGGACUAUCAUAUAAGAAUUUUGUAUAAACUUAAACUAUUUCAAGUAGUAUUUUCUGCUUACCUAUAGAUUCUUCCAGCAGAGACGUGUGAAUUGGGCUUUGUGGGGGAAAGUGCAGGUGCUUUGGUGGGAGGAGUAGAACUUAUGCUAAUCGUUGCUGCUCCCCUAUCUUGUGAGAUAGGGAAACGAGUCAACAUGGUGUUUAGUGAAAAGAUGAUGUUAAAGAAGUUUCAUUGGCUUGGCCUAUGGUAGACCUUCUGUUAAACUCUUAAGGGAUCUAUUGCCAUGUGGAUUUUGCUCACGUUACUGAAGGGUUUUUAUGGGAACAAAUUGUUAAGCACUGAAGGGGAAUUGGGAAAUCUGGUAUUUCUACUUCCAGCUUUUCUAGACUGCUUGCUGGAUGGUUGGAAACAAAUGAUUAAAUUCCCUGAGGUGCCUCAAACUCAUUAAGCUGGGGCCACUCACAUACUGGCAGUGUGCUAAGAGGGCUCCUGGGAUUCUGUGUCACCAGGCAGUUUGCUCCCAGGAGAACUGGCUUAGAUCCUAGCAGUAAGUGCUGGCGUAACGUUUCACGGCUUUGGGGUGCUGCCCGAGAAGUUGACUCUAUUGCUGUUUCACAGGAGGUGGUGAAAGAGGCCUGUCGGUUUUAGAUGUCUGUUUAGUAAAAGAAAGGGCUGUGAUGGCAGACUUGCAGCUGGUUUGAGGGAAAUGUGGAUCCAGCUCUGGAGCUGAGUCUUAGAGCAAAACAAGGAAUCGGUCCUGCAGAAAUGGUCCAUGAACGUGAACCAGAGAAACAUUUUUGGAGUUUGGUAUUUGCAGGUUCCUUGAAAAAAUGUUUCAUAAUUAAAAAGUUUGAUGAAGGACUUUCUCAUUCAAAGAUUUUAGUAUUUCCCCAUUGCCAAGGGAGAGUGGGGACUAACCAGACAAUUAGCUGCUUCUUGCUGCAGAGUGGAUGAGAGGUUUGGAUUGCCUCUUUAAAGGAGAGUAAACCCUGUUUGUUGUGACUGCUUCUGUGAUGGGUGAUCAAAGGGCAGUGUGGACGGUGAGAAAAUAAAGGAUGACAUUUAGAUACUCAACCAUAAUGCUGCAUUCUUUACUUUUAAAAAGAGAGAGAAGGAAGAAAAGAAAAUAUAUCCUUACAAGUUUUAAAUGUUCUUUAAUUUGAGAAAACCUGCCAUGGAUGGAAGGAAGGACGAACAUUUGACAUUGUUCAAUACUGAGGACUCCUGAAGUCCAGUUACCCUGAACUAGCUUUUACCUUCUUGAUUUGAAGUAGUGGGUCCCAAAAUCAGUUUGCCUGCUUCUGGUAGGUUUGCAGGGUUAGGAUGUGAGGUCUGCAGAGAAAGAAAGUUUCGGCUAGAUUUCUUACUUACUCAGAGUGGCCCUCCAAACCCUGGUCCCUGUCAGAGAAGCAGGAAACCAAAGUCUUGUCUCCCAUCCUUAAUUAGCUUUUUGUAACCAUCCCACAUCACUUUUUCUGUAUAUUUCCAUGUUCAUGACUAUACAAAGGCCAUUGUAACAGCUUAGAAGUUAGGGGCACAGGCUCCAGAGCUACUGUGCAGGGGUUUGAAACUUAGCGCCUUCAUUCAUGGGCAAUGUGACUUCAAACAAGUUGCUUUAAUCUUUCUGUGCCUUACUUUUCUCAUCCGUAAAGUGGAAAUGGAAUUAGAACAUAUUUUAUACGAUCAUUGUGAGGAUUAAGUGAGUUCAUACAUGUUCAAUGUUAGCUGUGUGCCUGGCACAUGGUAAGAGUUCAAUACAUGGGAUCUAUUAUCCUUGGAAAGGUUGGAAGAAGGAUGCAUUAAAAUAAGUGGAACACAUAGAGUUCUGAACAGAGAGAUCCAUGUACCUUUGUCUUCUUUAGCGUAGGUCUAUGCUACAUUAUUUCACAGAUAACUUACGAUGUGCAUAGUGCUGUGCUAUGCAUCCAAGCUUGGCAAUUUUAAGACAAUUCCUACCCUCCAAGGAUUUAGAGCUAGGUCAGUAGGAAAGAUGGCAGGCUUAAAGCUGAUCAGCUGCAAUCCAGGGCAGUGUAUGGGAUCAAGUGCCUACACAAGGAUAAUGGGUAUGCAUGGUAUAGGAUCCUAAAAAGAUACUAUAAAACAUUCAUAUAUGUAUAAUAGAAGUCCCCAGAAUUAUUCAAUACCAAUCUUUGAGGCUCAUUUUUGCAUGCAGUCACAAGAUAUGAAUGUUUAGGCUUUGAAAAGGGAAAAAGAGCCUCUUAAUCAACUCCAGGUAAUGCUUUUUCUGUCUUGCUGUAACAAUACAUGAUCAUAUUUCUCUGAUCAUUUAUCUCAUUGUUUUGCAGUUAUCUACUGAUGCACUACUCUCCUUUACCACCCCUGGAGGGGUGAAGACUAUGUGUUACUCAUCUUUAUAUCCCCUGCCUGGAGCCCAUGGCCUGCACUUAGUAGGCAUUUAAUAAAGAAAGUGCACAGUAGCAUGGAGGAUGACACAAAAGUCAGCAGACCUGCUAAACCUAUGUGAAUGACCAUUGACUCCCCACUUUCAUGUAGAGUUUAAAGAGAAUCGUUUGAACAAUGAUGCGACUGUAAACCGUGUGUGUGUGUGCGCGUGUGCGCUAAUACGAUUUAGGCUGGAUUUGGACACUGAGGGACAGUUCCUGGAGAUGCUGAGGAUUAGUGGUAACAGCUGUUACUCUCCCCAUUAGAGGAAAAACUGAAAGGAGAAGAAAAUACUUUUGUGUAAGGGAUGUGUUUGCAACUCUGAGGGAGGCAGCCGUUCUAUCAAGCCUGAAGAAAAGUGUGUUCCUAGAGACAGGGUCUUGCUCUGUGCCCAGGCCGGAGUGUAGUG